AUACGUAGGGGGGCGAGCGUUGUCCGGAAUGAUUGGGCGUAAAGGGCGCGUAGGCGGCCCGGUAAGUCUGGAGUGAAAGUCCUGUUUUUAAGAUGGGAAUUGCUUUGGAUACUGUCGGGCUUGAGUGCAGGAGAGGUAAGUGGAAUUCCCAGUGUAGCGGUGAAAUGCGUAGAGAUUGGGAGGAACACCAGUGGCGAAGGCGACUUACUGGACUGUAACUGACGCUGAGGCGCGAAAGUGUGGGGAGCAAACAGGAUUAGAUACCCUGGUAGUCCACACUGUAAACGAUGAAUGCUAGGUGUAGGGGGUAUCGACCCCUUCUGUGCCGCAGUCAACACAAUAAGCAUUCCGCCUGGGGAGUACGGCCGCAAGGUUGAAACUUAAAGGAAUUGACGGGG
rnacentral:rRNA from 1 species